CACCUCGAAGGUGCACGUCGGGGGGAUUCAGUCAGACGUCUGACGGGGCGGGGAGGGGCCUGGACUUUCUGAGAAAGCCACGCCGUCGUCGCUGACCGGGAUCGUCUGGCGCAUUUCCUCCCGUUCGAGCUACGUCGCAACCGGUUGGGUCACUGAAAGUCUCCGCCGUAAGUGCGGGCGACGGAAGGUGGCCGGCUGCUGAUUCUGUCGGCGGCCGGUGUUACAUCCUGUCCGCAUGGACGAGAUCGCCCGACCGGGGAUAAACCUAGGCCCAUCAGGGCCGCGCCGCGCUUUCCUUUUGGAGCGGAGUCUCGUCACACAGACGUCACCAUGCUUGUUCCGUCACAAACCUUGCGUUGUGCGGACUGGCGGGUGCGUCGUUGGAGUUUCGAGCCCGUAGGGCGCCGCAGGUUGCGGCGAGUAGGUCGGUCACCCAUCCGACCCGUCUUGAAACACGGACCAAGGAGUCA
rnacentral:rRNA from 1 species